rnacentral:rRNA from 1 species
AUGAACGCUAGCUACAGGCUUAACACAUGCAAGUCGAGGGGCAGCGGUAUCGAAAGCUUGCUUUCGGUAGCCGGCGACCGGCGCACGGGUGAGUAACGCGUAUCGAACCUGCCUCAUACUCGGGAAUAGCCUUGCGAAAGUAAGAUUAAUGCCCGGUGUUUUCAGAGUCCCGCAUGAGGCUUUGAACAAAGAUUUAUCGGUAUGAGAUGGCGAUGCGUCCCAUUAGCUUGUUGGCGGGGUAACGGCCCACCAAGGCAUCGAUGGGUAGGGGUUCUGAGAGGAAGGUCCCCCACAUUGGAACUGAGACACGGUCCAAACUCCUACGGGAGGCAGCAGUGAGGAAUAUUGGUCAAUGGGCGGAAGCCUGAACCAGCCAAGUAGCGUGCAGGAAGACGGCCCUCCGGGUUGUAAACUGCUUUUAGUUGGGAAUAAAACGGGGCUCGUGAGCCCCCUUGCAUGUACCAUCAGAAAAAGGACCGGCUAAUUCCGUGCCAGCAGCCGCGGUAAUACGGAAGGUCCGGGCGUUAUCCGGAUUUAUUGGGUUUAAAGGGAGCGCAGGCGGGCCUUUAAGUCAGCUGUGAAAUACGGCGGCUCAACCGUCGAACUGCAGUUGAUACUGGAGGUCUUGAGUGCACACAGGGAUGCUGGAAUUCAUGGUGUAGCGGUGAAAUGCUCAGAUAUCAUGAAGAACUCCGAUCGCGAAGGCAGGCAUCCGGGGUGCAACUGACGCUGAGGCUCGAAAGUGCGGGUAUCAAACAGGAUUAGAUACCCUGGUAGUCCGCACAGUAAACGAUGAAUACUCGCGGUUUGCGAUACAAUGUAAGCCGCCAAGCGAAAGCGUUAAGUAUUCCACCUGGGGAGUACGCCGGCAACGGUGAAACUCAAAGGAAUUGACGGGGGCCCGCACAAGCGGAGGAACAUGUGGUUUAAUUCGAUGAUACGCGAGGAACCUUACCCGGGCUUAAAUUGCACUCGAAUGAUCCGGAAACGGUUCAGCUAGCAAUAGCGAGUGUGAAGGUGCUGCAUGGUUGUCGUCAGCUCGUGCCGUGAGGUGUCGGCUUAAGUGCCAUAACGAGCGCAACCCUCAUCCUCGUUUGCCAUCAGGUGAUGCUGGGCACUCCGGGGACACUGCCAUCGUAAGAUGUGAGGAAGGUGGGGAUGACGUCAAAUCAGCACGGCCCUUACGUCCGGGGCUACACACGUGUUACAAUGGGCGGUACAGAGGGCAGCCACUGCGCGAGCAGGAGCCAAUCCUCAAAGCCGUUCUCAGUUCGGACUGGAGUCUGCAACCCGACUCCACGAAGCUGGAUUCGCUAGUAAUCGCGCAUCAGCCAUGGCGCGGUGAAUACGUUCCCGGGCCUUGUACACACCGCCCGUCAAGCCAUGAAAGCCGGGAGCACUUGAAGGCCGUGACCGCAAGGGUCGGUCUAGAGUGAUACUGGUAAUUGGGGCU